rnacentral:rRNA from 1 species
GACGAACGCUGGCGGCGUGCUUAAUACAUGCAAGUCGAGCGAACAGAUGCGGCGCUUGCUCCUCUGACGUUAGCGGCGGACGGGUGAGUAACACGUGGAUCACCUCCCUAUAAGACUGGGAUAACUUCGGGAAACCGGCGCUAAUACCGGAUAAUCUAUUGCACCGCAUGGUUCAAUAGUGAAAGUCGGUUUUUCUGUCACUUAUAGCUGGAUCCGGGCCGCAUUAGCUGGUUGGUAAGGUAACGGCUUACCAAGGCAACGAUGCGUAGCCGACGGGAGAGACUGGUCGGCGACACUGGAGCUGAGACGCGCUCCAGGCUCCUACGAGAGGGAGCAGUAGGGAAUCUUACGCAAUGGGCGGAAGCCUGACGGAACGGCGCCGAGUGAGUGAUGAAGGUGUUCGGAGCGUGAAGCUGUGUUAUGGGGGAAAAACAAAUGUGUCAGUAAAUAUAGACGUAGUGACGGUACCUGAUCAGGAAGCCACGGCUAACUACGUG